rnacentral:rRNA from 1 species
UUAUACAUGCAAGUCGAGCGGGAUUCUCCUUCGGGGGAUGAGAGCGGCGCACGGGUGAGUAACGCGUACGUAACCUGCCUUACAGAGGGGAAUAGCCCUGGGAAACUGGGUUUAAUACUCCAUAGUAUAUAGAUGGCGCAUGCUGUUUAUAUUAAAGUUGAGGCGCUGUAAGAUGGGCGUGCGUGCUAUUAGCUAGUUGGUGAGGUAACGGCUCACCAAGGCUACGAUAGCUAGGGGGCGUGAGAGCGUGGCCCCCCACACGGGUACUGAGACACGGACCCGACUCCUACGGGAGGCAGCAGUAAGGAAUAUUGGACAAUGGUCGGAAGACUGAUCCAGCCAUCCCGCGUGCAGGAUGACUGCCCUAUGGGUUGUAAACUGCUUUUAUAUGGGAAGAAUAGCAUAGAUUCAUCUGUGUAUGACGGUACCAUAUGAAUAAGCACCGGCUAACUCCGUGCCAGCAGCCGCGGUAAUACGGAGGGUGCAAGCGUUAUCCGGAAUCACUGGGUUUAAAGGGUGCGUAGGUGGCCCGAUAAGUCAGAGGUGAAAGCCCGUCGCUUAACGAUGGAAUUGCCUUUGAUACUGUUGGGCUUGAAAUAGGUUGAGGUAGGCGGAAUGUGACAUGUAGCGGUGAAAUGCAUAGAUAUGUCAUAGAACACCAAUUGCGAAGGCAGCUUACUGGACCUUAUUUGACGCUGAGGCACGAAAGCGUGGGGAUCAAACAGGAUUAGAUACCCUGGUAGUCCACGCCCUAAACGAUGCUUACUCGAUAUCUGGGCUUCGGUCUGGGUGUCCAAGGGAAACCGAUAAGUAA